AGGUUUUAAGCCGGUGCAGGCUAACCGUGAUUUUGUCAAACAUCACUCUACAGCAGGUGGUACAAAUGGCAAGGCAGUCCGCGGUUGUAAAAUGAGACCCCGAUCUAGGGAGAGGGAUACAGAAAAAUGCCGCUCCAAACUGGGGCACAGAGCAUGGGGAGAAAACGUACAGGAGGACAGGCACAACAGCCAGAAGGAGAAUGUCAGAAGGUGGGGCUCUGGGAACCAGGGUGCUGAGUAAAAACCAUUGCCCCAUUCUAAAUACCAGAAAAGCAGGCCACAGAAGAGAGGCAGGUCCCAGCGUCCCUGGAGACCAGGAUGCAAGGUCCCAAGACUUUGAAGACAUGACUAGCUGGGUAGAAGGGAACAAUUGUGUAAUACAUUGGCUACCUGUUUUUCCUCCUGUCAUAUAAUACUGUUCUGAAAAUACUUCCUGGAUUGGUGAAUUCCCCCCACAUAAAUCUGACCAUGCUGGAGAGAUAUCACUUCUAGAUCUGGCAUAAGGUUUUCUACGAGAUUUAUAUGCCUAGGGAUAAGCAAAGGCUUGGAGCGGAUUUGACAGAGUCUGAAAAACGAUUUCCCCCUCAAUCAAAAUUGAUGCCUGUCUAUCAGCAAAUUCUCAGGAUGAGGAAGCCCCUGAACCAGAGUAUAAAGUUAAAGGAAAAGAAGUCCAGAGAGCUGGCUAUAUC